rnacentral:rRNA from 1 species
GUGGGGAAUCUUGCGCAAUGGGCGAAAGCCUGACGCAGCCAUGCCGCGUGGAUGAUGAAGGUCUUAGGAUUGUAAAAUCCUUUCACCGGUGAAGAUAAUGACUGUAGCCGGAGAAGAAGCCCCGGCUAACUUCGUGCCAGCAGCCGCGGUAAUACGAAGGGGGCUAGCGUUGCUCGGAUUUACUGGGCGUAAAGGGCGCGUAGGCGGACAUUUAAGUCAGGGGUGAAAUCCCGGGGCUCAACCUCGGAACUGCCUUCAAUACUGGCUGUCUUGAGUAUGAGAGAGGUGUGUGGAACUCCGAGUGUAGAGGUGAAAUUCGUAGAUAUUCGGAAGAACACCAGUGGCGAAGGCGACACACUGGCUCAUUACUGACGCUGAGGCGCGAAAGCGUGGGGAGCAAACAGGAUUAGAAACCCCUGUAGUCC